rnacentral:lncRNA from 1 species
UUUUUAACUAAAUGUAUCUCCACUUAGAGCUUUUAGAUAGAGUGGUUCAAUAUAGUUCAAUAUACUAACCGAGUAAAAAUUCAAAACUUUCAUGAAAAUUGUGCAUCUUAUAUUGAACACAAUCCAUAUACCCAUAGCUCGGCUAUAUAUAGCUUACGGUUUAAAUGAGGCGGUUAAAUCAAUAAUUUCAUAUAUCGAUAACUGUUCUAUGUAAAGAUUAAAGUUUUAAAUGAGAUGAAUCAGCAAAAAUAAUUUUAUAAAACCGUAACUCGUCUAUAUAGAGGCAAUUGAUAGACAUAAGCAACGUGUCUGUGAUUUACAGGAUCAAGGUAUUCUCUUUAUAGAAAUAUGGUUGAUAAUAUAGAGUCAAGUUCUGAAAGGUUCAAAUACAAUAUUUAUGCAGCUGAUGCUAGUAUUCAUGACUCAGUAGAGGAGGAUCAAGGCACCAUUAAGGAGCAAGAUCGGUUGCUACCUAUAGCUAAUGUCAGCCGGAUAAUGAAGCAGAUCCUUCCUCCAAACGCGAAAAUCUCUAAAGAAGCUAAAGAAACCAUGCAAGAAUGUGUAUCAGAAUUCAUUAGCUUUGUUACUGGAGAAGCAUCUGAUAAAUGCCACAAGGAGAAGAGGAAAACAGUUAAUGGAGAUGACAUUUGUUGGGCUUUGGGAAGUUUAGGAUUUGAUGAUUAUGCAGAAUCACUCAGGAGGUAUUUGCAUAAGCAUAGGGAAGCAGAAGGAGAUAGGGCUAAUCAGAACAAAUCUUCAAACAAUGAAGAAAGGGAUUGAUAUAGUUCAAAACUUGAAGUGAAACCACUGUGAGGAAGCCUUCAGUCCCCACCCCACCUCACCCCACACCCAUCCAACGUCAGUGUAUUAUGAAUAGAAGAAUGCACCAAACUAAUAUAUUAGGUUAGGGGAUUUGUGCUUACCCCUUGGUUGAACUUUGAUGCAAAAUUUAUACUGUGGGAUUUUUACUGUUCUUUGCUUCUUUUUUGGUCCAGAAAUCUUGAAGGGAGUUCAGAUCUAUGACUCCAGAAAUUGCCUGUUUUUCUUACAAAUUUUAACUUUUGAUUACCUUAACCUGGAAACUAAUAAACCCUUGUGUUUCUGCAAUAAUUAGGCUAGUGAUUUUUGGGUUUGAUGUAAUAAGCUUGCAGUCUACAGAUAAUUGUGGGAUCUAUAUUCUUUAUGUUUCACUACAAUAAUUAAUUUCAAAUUAGGGUUUAUGUAUUACUGUUCUUGUCUAAUUUUAUCUGUAUAGUAUACUCUAUUGGCGUUUUGAUUCAAUUAAAGGCAACAGGAAUUAUGCUGAAGGUGGUAUCUUUGGUCAAGCUUGAUCAUGAUCGGGAGAUCGAUCUAGAAUAAAAGUAAGAUCUCUUUGUCUUCUUCCAUUAUUCCAAUAAUAUAAAUAAAUCUUGAUAUUUGCUUAUAUUAUAUAUGUAUCAUGUUUGUGUAUGGAUUAAUUAUUGUACAUUCAUAUAAGUGGACAGUUAAUAUAUAUGAUUGUCAGGGCUUGCAUGUAACUACUUGUAUUGGCUUUUUACCUGUUCUUAUUUGGUAAGUUAAUUGAAUU